CGGCGGACGGGUGAGUAAUGCCUAGGAAUCUGCCUGGUAGUGGGGGACAACGUUUCGAAAGGAACGCUAAUACCGCAUACGUCCUACGGGAGAAAGCAGGGACCUUCGGGCCUUGCGCUAUCAGAUGAGCCUAGGUCGGAUUAGCUAGUUGGUGAGGUAAUGGCUCACCAAGGCGACGAUCCGUAACUGGUCUGAGAGGAUGAUCAGUCACACUGGAACUGAGACACGGUCCAGACUCCUACGGGAGGCAGCAGUU
rnacentral:rRNA from 1 species